AAGACGCCUGAACUUGCUCAGGAGCAGAAGGUAGCAGA
rnacentral:SRP_RNA from 14 species